AACGUACUCCUUCGUCUGGAAAUACUUGUUGAAGGAACGAAUGCAUCUAGACGUAUUUUAGUUCUAGAUACAUCAAUUUUUAUGCAUUUCUCCGAUAAGUAUUUCCGAACGGAGGGAGUACGAU
rfam:Triticum aestivum genome assembly, contig: Triticum_aestivum_CS42_TGACv1_scaffold_080106_1DS